GGAGCCACAUCAACUUCACUGUAGUGAGGUAUGCUUCUACCUUGAACAACAAAAUUGAAAUGUAGAGUAAUAGACACCAGACAUGACAAGGGAAAGCUGGUGUGGUACUACACACGUAAAAACCAGAUUUGGGAAGUGUUCAGUUCUUUCACCUUAAUAAGAAAAGCUCUAAUUUGUAAUCCCACUCAUCAGACCCAUGUAAGAUCUCCUGUCCUCCUGGGACUCCAGUUAAAUGCAUAUUAGACACUUUGGCCAAUCCCACAGCUCAUUCAAGUUGUGUGGGUUUG